UAAUGUUUAUAGGGGAGGUGUAUAUAUUCAGAGCCAUAUCCCUGUAAUGUUUAUAGGGGAGGUGUAUAUAUUCAGAGCCAUAUCCCUGUAAUGUUUAUGGGGGAGGUGUAUAUAUUCAGAGCCAUAUCCCUGUAAUGUUUAUGGGGGAGGUGUAUAUAUUCAGAGCCAUAUCCCUGUAAUGUUUAUAUGUAUUGAUCACAUUUUUAUCUAAUACUGUAGAACUUUGUUCUAAAGCUGUAUCUGUACCCAUUGAAUGCAGUGAUUACCAUAUAGUGGCUAUAUCCAGGAAAGGCAAAGUUCCAACAGCUGGUGCCUAAAAUAGUGUAUAAGAGAUCAUACAUAACAUUUAGCUGUGACUCUUAUGUGGAUGAUGUUAAAAUUAUGUGUUGGUCUGAUGUGAUUAAUAAGGAGCAUCCAGAUGCUGCACUUGAUGAAUUUAUGAAAUUGCUUCUUCCAAUGAUUGAUAAACAUGAACCUGUUAAGAAACUGACCGUUAGAACUGUUAAGGCUCCACGGAUUGAUGAGGAACUGACCGUUAGAACUGUUAAGGCUCCACGGAUUGAUGAGGAACUGACCGUUAGAACUGUUAAGGCUCCAUGGAUUGAUGAGGAACUGACCGUUAGAACUGUUAAGGCUCCGCGGAUUGAUGAGGAACUGACCGUUAGAACUGUUAAGGCUCCACGGAUUGAUGAGGAACUGAAAACCUGUAUGGUUGAAAGAGACGGGGAUAAAGGAGUGGCUAAUAAGACUGGCUGCAAAUGAAAAAAUUAUGUGACUGAACUCAACAAAAAGUAGAAACUGUGUUAUGAUGCCGAGAUGAAUGAUUGCAUAAAACUUUGGCGUACUUUAAAUGAAACUAUGGGCACAAAGACAUUCAACUCCAUCAUUCAUCACAAAACCAUUUGAUGUUGCCAAUUACUUCAUUUGGCAAAGUGGGCAAGAAAUGCCAACAACAAACAGUGAGACGUAUUCAUGCAUAAAAAAACGAAUAAUGAAAGAAAAGCAUUGCAAGUUCGAAUAUUAUAAAGUUAGUGUGGGAGAGGUAGAAUUGUUAUUGAUAAAUAAUGACAAACUUCCUGGCAUUGACAACUUAGAUGGAAAGUUGAGGAUGGUAUCUGACUCUAUAGCCACUCCUAUCUGUCAUAUCUUUAACCUGAGACGAGAGGAAAGUCUUUGUCCUCAGGCCUGGAGGGAAGCCAAAGUCAUUCUGCUACCCAGGAGUGGUAAAGCGGCCUUUACUGGAUCUAACAGCAGACCUAUCAGCUUGCUGCCAGCUCUUAGCAAACUGUUGGAAUAAAUAGUGUUUGUAUCAAGGCACAAGGCGAGUCCCAAUCACAGGGACAGGUGAAACCCAAUCACAGGGACAGGUGAAACAGACACAAGGUGAGACCCAGAUGCAGACACGGGAGGCAGAUGGUUGGAGUCUUACAAUGUUUAAUCAUUCAAAAGGAGUAGGCAAGAGAAUGGUCGUGGACAGGCAAAAAGGUCAUAACCAGAUCAGAGUCCAAUAGGUACCGAAGGGCAGGAAGAUUCAAGGUCAGGGAAGGCAGGAUGAUCAGGCAGGCAGGAAAGGAGUCCAGAGUCAAGCAGGGGUCAGAAUCGGGAAGACUAGCAAAAGAGAAUAGAAAAAGCACUCUGGUUGACUUGACUAAACAUACAAGACGAACUGGCACAAAGAAACAGGAAACAGGGAUAAAUACACUGGUACAGAGAGACAGGAAACACAGGGAUAAAUACACUGGUACAGAGAGACAGGAAACACAGGGAUAAAUACACUGGCACAGAGAGACAGGAAACACAGGGAUAAAUACACUGGUACAGAGAGACAGGAAACACAGGGAUAAAUACACUGGUACAGAGAGAGAGGAAACACAGGGAUAAAUACACUGGUACAGAGAGACAGGAAACACAGGGAUAAAUACACUGGUACAGAGAGACAGGAAACACAGGGAUAAAUACACUGGGGAAAAUAAGCGACACCUGGAGGGGUGGAGACAAUCACAAGGACAGGUGAAUUAGAUCAGGGCGUGACAGUUUGACCAAAUACAAUGCUAUUUCUCUGUAAACAAAUGAACAACAGACUUUCAGCAUGCUUAUAGAGAAGGGCACUCAACAUGUACUGCACUGACACAAACGGUUGAAAGAAGUUGAUAAUAAGAAGAUUGUGGGAGCUGAACUGUUAGAUUUCAGUGCAGCCUUUGAUAUUAUUGACCAUAACCUGUUGUUGAGAAAGCAGAUGUGUUAUGGCUUUUCAACCUCUGCCAUAUCGUGGAUUCAGAACUAUGUAUCUAAUAGAACUCAAAGGGUUUUAUUUAAUGGAAGCGUCUCUAAUGUGAAACAUGUAAAGUGUGGUGUACCGCAGGGCAGCUCUCUAGGCCCUCUACUCUUUUCUAUUUUUACCAAUGACCUGCCACUGGCAUUAAACAAAGCAUGUGUGUCCAUGUAUGCUGAUGAUUAAAUCAUAAACGCAUCAGCAACCACAGCAGUCUGUUUUGGAAUGUGGCCAGUAAUAAACUGGUCCUGAACAUCUAAAACUAAGAGCAUUGUAUUUGGG
rnacentral:lncRNA from 1 species